GACGAACGCUGGCGGCGUGCUUAACACAUGCAAGUCGAACGGCAAGGCCCUGCUUUUGUGGGGUGCUCGAGUGGCGAACGUGUGAGUAACACGUGAGUAACCUGCCCUUGACUUUGGGAUAACUUCAGGAAACUGUGGCUAAUACCGGAUAGGAGCUCCUGCUGCAUGGUGGGGUUUGGACAGUUUCGGCGGUUGGGGAUAGACUCGCGGCUUAUCAGCUUGUGGGUGGGGUAGUGGCUUACCAAGGCUUUGACGGGUAGCCGGCCUGAGCGGGUGACCGGCGACAUUGGGACUGAGAUACGGAGCAGAGUGCUACGGGAGGCAGCAGUGGGGAAUAUUGCACAAUGAGCGGAAGCCUGAUGCAGAAACGCCGCGUGCGGGAUGAAGGCCUGCGGGGUGUAAACAGCUUUGGGCUGUGACGAAGCGUGAGUGACGGUAACGGGUAAAGAAGCACCGGCUAACUACGUG
rnacentral:rRNA from 1 species